rnacentral:pre_miRNA from 1 species
GCCGGGAAGAGGAAGAAAGAGACUGUCUAAGAGCAGUGGGAAUGGGAACAUGGAGGAAAGCAUGAUUGUGUUCUAUGUUUUCCUGGUGCCUCCCAUUCCUAUCGUUCUUAGGUGCUCCUUCCUCUUCCUUUGGCUU